UACGUAGGUGGCAAGCGUUGUCCGGAAUUAUUGGGCGUAAAGCGCGCGCAGGCGGUUCUUUAAGUCUGAUGUGAAAGCCCACGGCUCAACCGUGGAGGGUCAUUGGAAACUGGGGAACUUGAGUACAGAAGAGGAAAGCGGAAUUCCACGUGUAGCGGUGAAAUGCGUAGAGAUGUGGAGGAACACCAGUGGCGAAGGCGGCUUUCUGGUCUGUAACUGACGCUGAGGCGCGAAAGCUAGGGUAGCAAACGGG
rnacentral:rRNA from 1 species